rnacentral:rRNA from 1 species
GACGAACGCUGGCGGCGUGCCUAAUACAUGCAAGUCGAGCGCAGGAAACUGACGGAACUCUUCGGAGGGAAGGCAGUGGAAUGAGCGGCGGACGGGUGAGUAACACGUAAGGAACCUGCCUCAAGGAUUGGGAUAACUCCGAGAAAUCGGAGCUAAUACCGGAUAGUUCAACGGACCGCAUGGUCCGCUGAUGAAAGGCGCUCCGGCGUCACCUUGAGCUGGCCUUGCGGUGCAUUAGCUAGUUGGUGGGGCAACGACCCACCAAGGCGACGAUGCAUAGCCGACCUGAGAGGGUGAUCGGCCACACUGGGACUGAGACACGGCCCAGACUCCUACGGGAGGCAGCAGUAGGGAAUCUUCCACAAUGGACGAAAGUCUGAUGGAGCAACGCCGCGUGAGUGAUGAAGGUUUUCGGAUCGUAAAACUCUGUUGUAAGGGAAGAACACGUACGAGAGGGAAUGCUCGUACCUUGACGGUACCUUACGAGAAAGCCACGGCUAACUACGUGCCAGCCGCCGCCGUAA